rnacentral:rRNA from 1 species
GUGGGGAAUAUUGGACAAUGGGCGAAAGCCUGAUCCAGCCAUGCCGCGUGUGUGAAGAAGGUCUUCGGAUUGUAAAGCACUUUAAGUUGGGAGGAAGGGCAGUAAGUUAAUACCUUGCUGUUUUGACGUUACCGACAGAAUAAGCACCGGCUAACUUCGUGCCAGCAGCCGCGGUAAUACGAAGGGUGCAAGCGUUAAUCGGAAUUACUGGGCGUAAAGCGCGCGUAGGUGGUUUUGUAAGUUGGAGGUGAAAUCCCCGGGCUCAACCUGGGAACGGCCUCCAAAACUGCAUGACUAGAGUACGGUAGAGGGUAGUGGAAUUUCCUGUGUAGCGGUGAAAUGCGUAGAUAUAGGAAGGAACACCAGUGGCGAAGGCGACUACCUGGACUGAUACUGACACUGAGGUGCGAAAGCGUGGGGAGCAAACAGGAUUAGAUACCCGGGUAGUCC